rnacentral:rRNA from 1 species
CCUACGGGAGGCAGCAGUGGGGAAUAUUGCACAAUGGGGGAAACCCUGAUGCAGCGACGCCGCGUGAGUGAAGAAGUAAUUCGUUAUGUAAAGCUCUAUCAGCAGGGAAGAAAAUGACGGUACCUGAGUAAGAAGCCACGGCUAACUACGUGCCAGCAGCCGCGGUAAUACGUAGGGGGCAAGCGUUAUCCGGAUUUACUGGGUGAAAAGGGAGCGUAGACGGCAGUUCAAGUCUGGAGUGAAAGGCGGGGGCUCAACCCCCGGACUGCUCUGGAAACUGUACGGCUUGAGUGCAGGAGAGGUAAGUGGAACUCCUAGUGUAGCGGGGAAAUGCGUAGAUAUUAGGAGGAACACCAGUGGCGAAGGCGGCUGACUGGACUGCAACGGACGUUGAGGCUCGAAAGCGUGGGUAGCGAACAGGAUUAGAUACCCGGGUAGUC